GCCUGAGAGGGCGACCGGCCACACUGGGACUGGACACGGCCCAGACUCCUACGGGGGCAGCAGUGGGGAAUAUUGCACAAUGGGCGAAAGCCUGAUGCAGCGACGCCGCGUGAGGGAUGACGGCCUUCGGGUUGUAAACCUCUUUCAGCAGGGAAGAAGCGAGAGUGACGGUACCUGCAGAAGAAGCGCCGGCUAACUACGUGCCAGCAGCCGCGGUAAUACGUAGGGCGCAAGCGUUGUCCGGAAUUAUUGGGCGUAAAGAGCUCGUAGGCGGCUUGUCACGUCGGGUGUGAAAGCCCGGGGCUUAACCCCGGGUCUGCAUCCGAUACGGGCAGGCUGGAGUGUGGUAGGGGAGAUCGGAAUUCCUGGUGUAGCGGUGAAAUGCGCAGAUAUCAGGAGGAACACCGGUGGCGAAGGCGGAUCUCUGGGCCAUUACUGCCGCUGAGGAGCGAAAGCGUGGGGAGCGAACAGGAUUAGAUACCCUGGUAGUCCACGCCGUAAACGUUGGGAACUAGGUGUUGGCGACAUUCCACGUCGUCGGUGCCGCAGCUAACGCAUUAAGUUCCCCGCCUGGGGAGUACGGCCGCAAGGUUAAAACUCAAAGGAAUUGACGGGGGCCCGUACAAGCAGCGGAGCAUGUGGCUUAAUUCGACGCAACGCGAAGAACCUUACCAAGGCUUGACAUAUACCGGAAAGCAUUAGAGAUAGUGCCCCCCUUGUGGUCGGUAUACAGGUGGUGCAUGGCUGUCGUCAGCUCGUGUCGUGAGAUGUUGGGUUAAGUCCCGCAACGAGCGCAACCCUUGUCCUGUGUUGCCAGCUUGCCCUUCGGGGUGAUGGGGACUCACAGGAGACCGCCGGGGUCAACUCGGAGGAAGGUGGGGACGACGUCAAGUCAUCAUGCCCCUUAUGUCUUGGGCUGCACACGUGCUACAAUGGCCGGUACAAAGAGCUGCGAUGCCGUGAGGCGGAGCGAAUCUCAAAAAGCCGGUCUCAGUUCGGAUUGGGGUCUGCAACUCGACCCCAUGAAGUCGGAGUCGCUAGUAAUCGCAGAUCAGAA
rnacentral:rRNA from 1 species